UUCCGGAGCUAACGCGUUAAGUAGACCGCCUGGGGAGUACGGCCGCAAGGUUAAAACUCAAAUGAAUUGACGGGGGCCCGCACAAGCGGUGGAGCAUGUGGUUUAAUUCGAUGCAACGCGAAGAACCUUACCUGGUCUUGACAUCCACAGAACUUUCCAGAGAUGGAUUGGUGCCUUCGGGAACUGUGAGACAGGUGCUGCAUGGCUGUCGUCAGCUCGUGUUGUGAAAUGUUGGGUUAAGUCCCGCAACGAGCGCAACCCUUAUCCUUUGUUGCCAGCGGUCCGGCCGGGAACUCAAAGGAGACUGCCAGUGAUAAACUGGAGGAAGGUGGGGAUGACGUCAAGUCAUCAUGGCCCUUACGACCAGGGCUACACACGUGCUACAAUGGCGCAUACAAAGAGAAGCGACCUCGCGAGAGCAAGCGGACCUCAUAAAGUGCGUCGUAGUCCGGAUUGGAGUCUGCAACUCGACUCCAUGAAGUCGGAAUCGCUAGUAAUCGUGGAUCAGAAUGCCACGGUGAAUACGUUCCCGGGCCUUGUACACACCGCCCGUCACACCAUGGGAGUGGGUUGCAAAAGAAGUAGGUAGCUUAACCUUCGGGAGGGCGCUUACCACUUUGUGAUUCAUGACUGGGGUGAAGUCGUAACAAGGUAACCGUAGGGGAACCUGCGGUUGGA
rnacentral:rRNA from 1 species